rnacentral:rRNA from 1 species
CACGGGGGGAGCAAGCGUUGUUCGGAUUCAUUGGGCGUAAAGGGCGCGUAGGCGGCCUUCUAAGUCAGACGUGAAAUCCCCCGGCUUAACCUGGGAACUGCGUCUGAUACUGGGAGGCUUGAGUAUGGGAGAGGGAUGUAGAAUUCCAGGUGUAGCGGUGAAAUGCGUAGAUAUCUGGAGGAAUACCGGUGGCGAAGGCGGCAUCCUGGACCGACAUUGACGCUGAGGAGCGAAAGCUAGGGGAGCAAACGGG